ACUGUGGGCCAAACGAGUAACCGAAUUAGGCCACGAGUGGUGAAGCAAAAUAUUAUUAGCAGCGCUGGGACUCCCAAUCCUAACGGGAGUACCCUCGCCGCCUCGCUCCCCUUCCCCAGCUUCGUCUUCUCCUAGGAAAAAUCGGAUUCCCAAAUUCCGAUUCGACCGCGAAGAAACAGAGAGAGAGAGAGAGAGGGAGAUAGAGAUAGAGAUAGACAGAGAGAUAAAGAGAGCUAUAAACAAUCUAAUCCGGCAUUUUUUUUUUUUCCUUCCGCACCGGAUCGUUCUCGAGGUUGGGAUCGAAGGUUGGGCGGAGGGGAUGUCGAUCGCCGCCAUGGCCGCGCAGGAGAGGCCGACGCGGCGCCCGAGGGAGAGAGCCAUGGCCGACUUCGGCUUCUUCCUCUACCAUUACUCCUCCGAUUCCGAGGAACAGGAACAAGAAGAAGUAGAUCCCGAAGAGUGGAGCGCGGGGGAUGAGCCGAAGAGGAGAGCGAAGAGGAGGAAGAGGACGAAGGGUAAUGGUCGAGAAGGCGCCGGGAGGAGGAAAAAAGAGGCUUCGACGUGUUCCUCGCACCCCUCUCUGGAUUCAUCGAGUACUAAUUCUCGGAAGGAUACUGAGGAGAAGAUGGAAAACGAUGAUUCGGCUUCUUCUCUUUCUUCUUCGAAUAAUGGCGGUGGCGCGUUAUCUUGCUCUCGGCCUUCGUUGCCGCCUUCGAUUCAGGUACCGAAAAAUAAAAGAAGCAGAAUCGUCCCGAAAACAUGCGAUGUGAACAAAAGAAGGAUCAAUUCGACUCGGAGAAGAAAGUGCCAUCAAUGUAGGAAGACGAAGUAUGAGCAAUUCGUGGUCAAGUGCUCAAGCUGCAACAAGACAUGUUACUGCACCUCUUGCAUUGAGCAAAGGUACAAUGGAAUUUCAAGAGAUGUGAUCGAAAAGGCUUGUCCAUUAUGUCGAAGAAGAUGUAACUGCACUGUAUGUUUGAGCAAAAAUUCCGAAUCCAAGAAGUUGAUUGAAAUGAAUAAGGUAGACAGAUGUGAAUAUGCUAGCUAUAUGUUGCACCAUCUGCUGCCAUGUUUGAGAGAAUUGAACCACGAGCAACUAAAUGAAAGAAAGAUUGAGGCCGACAUACGAGGUUUGUUGUUGUCUGAGUUGGUCCUGGAACAGGCAGAUUGUCAAAAUGAUGAAAGGGUAUUCUGCAACAACUGCAAAACUUCCAUUGUUGACCUUCAUAGAAGUUGUUCAAAUUGUUCGUAUGAACUAUGCCUUAUCUGCUGCAAGGAGAUCCGGGAAAACAAUAUUCGGGGAUCUUGUGAAGAAGUGGUAUUGCAUUACCGAAAUAGAGGAGAUGAAUAUGUUCAUGGUGGAGAUCCAUUGCCUGAGGAAGUUCAGUACAAAGAGGUGGGCGACCAUCAAUCUCAUAUUGCUAAGUGGAAGGUUGAUCCGAAUGGAAGGAUUCCUUGCCCUCCAAAUGAACUCGGUGGAUGCGGUCGUUCUUUUCUUGAACUCAAGCACAUAUUGGCCAAAAAUUGGUUAUCCGAUCUUGAAAUGAAUGCCAGGAAUGUAGCAAGAAUAUUUGGAUAUUUACAACCACCUGACAUCUUGACAAAAGAAUUAUCUGCUUGCUCAUGCUCAAGUAAUGGAAGUUCAAGGAAAGCAGCGUCCAGGAAGAGUUCAAAUGACAAUUACUUAUACUGUCCAUCUUUGAGUGGCAAUCAACAAGAUGACCUGAAACACUUCCAAAGGCACUGGGUGAAGGGAGAACCAGUAAUUGUUCGAGGAGUACUCAAGAAAAUGUCACAUUUGAGCUGGAACCCAGAAGAUAUGUGGGCUGCAAUAAAUCAUUCUAGAGCUGAUUCUGAUCUAGAACAUGUGAAGGCUAUUGAUUGUCUUGCUUGUUGUCAGGUUGAAAUAGGUACUUGUGAAUUUUUCAAAGGAUAUGCAGAAGGUAGAAUGUAUUCAAAUCUUUGGCCUGAAAUGCUGAAAUUAAAGGACUGGCCUACAUCCAAUCACUUUGAAGAGUUUUUGCCACAUCAUGGGGAUCAAUAUAUCAACUCCUUGCCAUUUCAACCUUACACUAAUCCAAAAUCUGGCACACUCAAUGUUGCUGCGGCUCUACCCAGUGACAUCUUGAAGCUUGAUAUGGGACCAAAAUCAUAUAUUGCAUAUGGUACUGCACAAGAGCUUGGAAGGGGAGAUUCUGUGACCAAGCUUCAUUGUGAUGUGUCCGAUGCGGUGAAUGUUUUAGUGCAUACUGCUGAAGUUUCACUUUCUUCUGAGCAAGAAUCUGCAAUUAUAAACUUGAAAGAGAAACACAAAGCACAAGAUGAAAGGGAGCAUAGUCAAAAUACUCAAACAGAAGGUGUUGAGAAAUGCCAUAAGGACGUGAAUAAAGGAGAUGACAUGCGGGUACCUGAGACUAUAACUGAAAAUGGAGAUGCUAUAGAUUCAGUAGAGAAAAAAGGUGCUUUAUGGGAUAUUUUCCGGAGAGAGGAUGUUCCAGCUUUAAAGGCCUACCUCACAAAAUAUUCAAAAAAGUUUAGACAUUACUAUUGCCAUCUUGUUGAACAGGUGUUUAAUCCUGUUCAUGAUGAGACUUUUUAUUUGACUCUCGAGCACAAAAGGAAGCUCAAGGAAGAAUUUGGAGUUGAGCCAUGGACAUUUGUACAAAGACUUGGAGAGGCAGUCUUUAUACCUGCUGGAUGUCCACAUCAAGUGAGAAAUCUUAAGUCUUGUACCAAGGUUGCACUUGACUUUGUUUCACCAGAGAACCUCAGCAAGUGUAUCCACUUAACCGAGGACUUUCGGUUGCUUCCUGCAAAUCACAGGGCUAAAGAAGACAAACUAGAGGCGAUCUCGUCACUUAGGCUGCUAUGCAGUCUACAAUUGUGGGAGCAGAGUGGUUAGACAGGAAACUUGUAAGCGCUUAGUUGGCGUAGGUUGUCUUGGUUCUAAUAAUAAGAGGCAAUCUCACACAAAGGAACAACAAGAGGAAGGACGAAAGGUGAUAAAGUGGCUAACAUGUAGGAUGCAAAAGAUCGGCAUACAUGCCUUGAUUGAAAAAAAAUGGCAAGAUCAUACGCAUGCUAGUGACUUCGAUUUGACCAGAAGUGCUUGAUUUGGGUACAUAUGGAGGCAACAAGACAACAACAUGCAAGUCGCUUUUGGCUAGCAAGGCGGCUCUCUUCAUAGGCAGGUGAAGAAGAUGAUUGUGUAUGCUGUUGACCAUGCUGUGAAGACCUUGCAAGAGUUGUUGCCUUCUGCAGUGGAGACAGGAGCAGCUCCUACAAACUAACCAGUUGGAUUUCCUUUGCCCUCCAGACACAUACCAUGCUUCCCUAAUGCUUUUUUUCAGAUGGGAUUAAGGUUUAGGACUAUCUCCAACUUCCUCUCACUUAUCGACCAUAACUUACCAAGGGUUUUUUGGUUUUUUUUCCCUUUUCUUUUCGUAAUUAUGAUUUUUCCAUCUGAGCAGUUUUGUAAAAGCUCUAGCGGGCAUCAAGAAAGAAAUGAGUUGUUUUGCUAGCCAAUUUUUUGCCUCCUUGUCAUCAAUGAUUUGUAUUUGUUAA